rnacentral:rRNA from 1 species
AUAUCAAUAAGCGGAGGAAAAGAAACUAACAAGGAUUCCCCUAGUAACUGCGAGUGAAGCGGGAAAAGCUCAAAUUUAAAAUCUGGCGCAAGCCCGAGUUGUAACCUAGAGAAGUGUUUUCGGCCGUUGUACUUGGACAAGUCCCUUGGAACAGGGCGUCAUAGAGGGUGAGAAUCCCGUGCUUGCCAAGCUCACAAUGUCUAUGCGAUACGCUUUCGAAGAGUCGAGUUGUUUGGGAAUGCAGCUCAAAUUGGGUGGUAAAUUCCAUCUAAAGCUAAAUAUUGGCGAGAGACCGAU